rnacentral:rRNA from 1 species
UACGGGGGGGGCAAGCGUUGUUCGGAAUUACUGGGCGUAAAGGGCUCGUAGGUGGCCAACUAAGUCAGACGUGAAAUCCCUCGGCUUAACCGGGGAACUGCGUCUGAUACUGGAUGGCUUGAGUUCGGGAGAGGGAUGCGGAAUUCCAGGUGUAGCGGUGAAAUGCGUAGAUAUCUGGAGGAACACCGGUGGCGAAGGCGGUUCUCUGGGCCUGACCUGACGCUGAGGAGCGAAAGCGUGGGGAGCGAACAGG